rnacentral:lncRNA from 1 species
AGCCUUCCAGAUGCCCAGGACAGAACCAAUGUCGCUCUGUCUUCCAUUUCACAUCUGAUCUUCCUUGGACUCUGCUGUUCCUACCUUCAGGAUCUACCAAGUCGGACUUGCUCCUACCAGCCUGGGCCAAGCCACUGGCCUCUCUCAUCGGUAACUGCUGAUCUCCAUUUAGUCCACUCCCAGUGCAGGGGGUUCGGUGGUUUGGAUAAGUGUCCCACAAAGCCCCAUGUGUUAAAGGCUGGUGCCCAGCCUGGGGUGCUGUUGGAAGGUGGUAUAACCUUUAAGAAGAGGGGCCUGGUGAAAGGUCUUCCCAUCCCUGGGGACAUGUCCUUGAAGCAGAUAUUGGGACCCCAGCCCCCUCCUCCUCCUGUCUUUUCCACAUGGUCCUGAGAGUUAAACAGGCUUCCUCUCUACACACACCCACAUGAUGUGCUGGGCUGCCACAGGCCCAAGACCAGGGCCAAUCAGUCAUGACGGAAACCUCUGAAACUGUGAGCUUUGCUUUUCAAGUUGAUUUAUCUCAGCUACUUGUUACGGUAACAGAAAGCUGAUUAACACAGGAGGUUUCCAAAUAAAGUCGGACCAUGUCCUGAGUGCCCCCACCUACGCAGCAGAAGCCAGUCGCACAGUGGCUCCCACGAUCUGGCCCCGCCUCACCUCCUCCCACUGCUCACCCCUUUCUCCCUCUCUGCAGUCUCUCUGCCCUCCUUGCUGUUCCUCCAAAGAACCAGUCGCAGUCCCCUCCUCACAGCUGUGCACGGGCUGCCCCUAGGCCGAGCCCUGUCCGCCCACCUGCCCAGCCCAACCCUGGUGCCCCAGGCCCUUGCACACAGUAGGAUUUUUCUCUAUUUCUGUUUUCCUUUCCCAUAGCACUUGCAAGCUUCAUAUUCUGUAUAAUUUCAAAUGUAUUAUUUUUCAUUACAAUCUGUCUCAAUCCACUGAAACAUAACCCAUAAAUAAACUCUCAGGACACUGACUUGACUUUUUCUGCUCACCGAUGUGUCCAAAAUGUCUACGAGAAGAUUCACACAACAUAGGUGCUGUCAAUCAAUGCGACGGUGGAAGGACAGGCUGCGAGUCGGGAGCAGGGGCUGGCCUGGGGACCCGGGUAGACUCGGCCCGGCCUUCUUCCACCCCUGCUCUCAUGCAGCGUGGGUGAGCCCCUGGGGGAGACUGGACCUCAGCUGUCUCUGUGGAGAGCUCAGGGGUACUAAAAACCUCUGGAAUUGUACAAAAACUUUGGGGCCACUUGUUUCCUGGGGGAAGGAGACAGUUCUUUUCCCCACAGUGUCUGUCACCUCCUG